CAAGACAAUGGAUGGCAUAGGCCGAGUUGAGAGACUGAUCGGCCACAUUGGGACUGAGACACGGCCCAAACUCCUACGGGAGGCUGCAGUAGGGAAUCUUCCACAAUGGGCGAAAGCCUGAUGGAGCAACGCCGCGUGUGUGAUGAAGGCUUUCGGGUCGUAAAGCACUGUUGUAUUGGGAAGAACAGCUAGAAUAGGAAAUGAUUUUAGUUUGACGGUACCAUACCAGAAAGGGACGGCUAAAUACGUGCCAGCAGCCGCGGUAAUACGUAUGUCCCGAGCGUUAUCCGGAUUUAUUGGGCGUAAAGCGAGCGCAGACGGUUUAUUAAGUCUGAUGUGAAAGCCCGGAGCUCAACUCCGGAAUGGCAUUGGAAACUGGUUAACUUGAGUGCAGUAGAGGUAAGUGGAACUCCAUGUGUAGCGGUGGAAUGCGUAGAUAUAUGGAAGAACACCAGUGGCGAAGGCGGCUUACUGGACUGCAACUGACGUUGAGGCUCGAAAGUGUGGGUAGCAAACAGGAUUAGAUACCCUGGUAGUCCACACCGUAAACGAUGAACACUAGGUGUUAGGAGGUUUCCGCCUCUUAGUGCCGAAGCUAACGCAUUAAGUGUUCCGCCUGGGGAGUACGACCGCAAGGUUGAAACUCAAAGGAAUUGACGGGGACCCGCACAAGCGGUGGAGCAUGUGGUUUAAUUCGAAGCAACGCGAAGAACCUUACCAGGUCUUGACAUCCUUUGAAGCUUUUAGAGAUAGAAGUGUUCUCUUCGGAGACAAAGUGACAGGUGGUGCAUGGUCGUCGUCAGCUCGUGUCGUGAGAUGUUGGGUUAAGUCCCGCAACGAGCGCAACCCUUAUUGUUAGUUGCCAGCAUUCAGAUGGGCACUCUAGCGAGACUGCCGGUGACAAACCGGAGGAAGGCGGGGACGACGUCAGAUCAUCAUGCCCCUUAUGACCUGGGCUACACACGUGCUACAAUGGCGUAUACACACCGAG
rnacentral:rRNA from 1 species